AUUUUCAAUAAAAUUUAAUUUUAGAAAAACAGGUUCGACGUGUGCAGCAUUCCUAUAGUACAUUUCCUUUUCAAAUGUACACCUUUAUAGUGAUGUAGUAGAUUUUAUUCUACAAAAGUGAUGUAAUAACUAAGGUCAUGUAAAGAAAUAUGUUUUGCGCAGUGUUGACGUUUUUUCAAAUUAAAUUUUGGCAUAAGUGUUUAUUUUUUUUAUCUGUGUGAUAAUAUUAUGGAGAUAAGUUCUCUAAAUUAUUUUUUAAGAAAAAGGGAUGUGUUCUUUUAAAAUGGAUAAGUU
rnacentral:lncRNA from 1 species